rnacentral:lncRNA from 1 species
AUGAGGCAACAGUCUGACAUAUUUGGGUACUUUGUAAUAUGUCAAAAGUUGGAGAAAAGGAUAAAAUACCUUGCAGAUGUUUUUUUCAAAGUACAAAUCAAGACUGCAUUUGGUAAAGGUUUCCAGCUUGAAUGCAAAUCUGUGGUCACUUUAGAGGCAUUGUUCGAUCUAAUGAGAACAAGGAAGCUAAAGCAGAAACCAAGGUCGCCUGUUCCUCUAGAUGAUCAAAAGGAGAAAAGAGAAAUAGUUCGCUUAAGGUGGCAGGAGUGGAAUUUUGGAUUCACCACAUCCGAGUUAAAUUUUGGACACCCCCUGAGAAACCUGCGGGACCGUCAGCUCAGGAGUCCCAAGAUCAGUCAGACCAGCCUCGAUACACCCGCGAACCGUUGGAGGACUUCAUCUCCUAUUUCGGAAGGAAAAAUCCCAGACUAAAGAGGCUCCUACCACUGAUCCUGAAGAAAAACCCCAUCCUCCUUAAAAAAGAUAAGUGAAAACCUACAUAAUCUUUCUCUUUAACACCCUUCCUUACCCCUUUAAUGGAAUCCUUUUACUAUUUCAUCAUAUUAUUAAGCAGCAUACUAACCAUACUCUUUAAGAUAGGGCUAUAUACUGUAGUUCCUGCUGGGAGGAAAAUCUUAGUCACAUCAACCUUAUUUCUAUCUUCCUUCCUUCUGGCAGCAAUUUACUCUUACCUUUAACUCAGCCUUGAUAAAAUGAUCUCGUCUUCCAGAGCACCCUCUUUACCUUCCUAUUUACUUUUUGCCUACCUAUCCCUCCUGCUUCCUUGGAUACCUCAUACAGCCACCCCUCCCCUUCCACUGGCUCCUAAUUGCCUCUACAAGACUCUCAACUUAACCCACUCUCUGUUAAACCAGUCCAAUCCUUCCCUGGCAAACGAUUGUUGGCUUUGUAGCUCUCUAUCAACCUCUGCUUACCUUGCCACUCCCAUUCCUGCAAAAAAAUGGGUCUUUACCAACUUAACCUACCACCCUCAUUAUGAAGGAAAAGACCAUUUCUGACUUCUAAAUAUGCAAUCAUUAGCCAAUUUCCCCAUCUCUGAUAGGACUGAGAAUACCCUAACAGGAUGUGCAAUCCAACUUUUACAUUCUUACAUUUCCAACGUCACCUAUUACACAAGAAAUGAAAAGCCCAUACACGGCCCUGUAACUAUGAAUACCAUCUUAACUUUCCAAGCCCCUUUAUGCAUCCAAUGCAACCUGUUAUCAGGCCUGCCCCUGGGGCACCUACUACCCAUCAGUGUAAUUAUACCCUACAACUUCAAGUCCCAACUGAUCAGGCACCUCGAAGUCACCUAAACAGCUCCA